UGACUCUGUUUGGUCUUUAGACUGUGU
rnacentral:piRNA from 1 species